rnacentral:lncRNA from 1 species
AAUUUUGUGUGUGUGUGAUGGAGUCAGGGUUUUGGAACUGUGACCUCUCUUUUUGUGUUUCAGAACUGGUCUCUCCUACUGUGGGUUUUUUUUAAAGAUUGGCACCUGAGCUAACAUCUGUUGCCAAUCUUUUUUUUUUUCCUUCUUCUUCUUCUCCCCAAAGCUCCCCCAGCACAUGGUUGUGUAUUCUAGUUGUGAGUGCCUAUGGUUGUGCUGUGUGGGACGUGCCUCAGCAUGGCUUGAUGAGGGUGCCAUGUCCGCGCACAGGAUCCGAACCAGCGAAACCCUGGGCUGCUGAAGUGGAGCGCGCGAACUUAACUGCUCGGCCACGGGGCUGGCCCCUGUGGCUUUUUCUUUUUACAAAGGUAUUCUUUUACAUUCAGACGUGGAGCACGAACUCUACCAGGCCCUCUGAUAAGGGAAGAAUACACAGGAAAAUGCAGAUUCUGAUGAAUAAGGACUGAGACACAACACAAAGCGUCCUCUGGGGCCGUGCGGAAUCCCUGCCCAUUCGAUACAGAAGCCAUCUACGUGUCUAAAGACAGCUCUGUCAUCCUACAGAUUCUACUCAGCUCUCAGGCCCCAUGAUGCUUCUUUGGAAUCUUCAAAACUCAUCAUUCAAGCAGGUGGUGGGCUAUGUGGUAUAAUUUCCAGUGUCCUGAGCACUACACCCUCAAAAUGCUUCACAUGCCUUGUUCUCUGAUGCCUGCGUUGUGCAGCUGGAACUUCAGUCAUUGGUGAAAGUCAAACAGAAAAUGAAGUUGGAACCUUCUUGGAAAAGCUAACGCACACAGCCUUCUGAAUAAUUUUUACCUGUUUUUGGGAAA